AGCUUUGUGCAGUGGCAGUAUCAUAGACAAUGAGGUUUAUCUGAGGCGAUUAUUGCUAACUGAAAACUAAAACAAUAAAUGAAAAUGCAGAGAAUUCACAAUAACAAGUAGUAUAUAUUAUUUUUACUUUAACAGGAUAAGUUCU